CACUGCCACGUUAAGGUCUCAGGACAAACCUCUGGCUGCAAUGCAAUUUUUGUAUUGACCAGAGCUUGCUUCUCUUGCCAUAAGUUGACAAGCUUGGAAAGGAAUCCCUUAUUAACUGUGCCAAGACCAGCAUGUCGUCAAAGUUGAUAGCUGGUGAUAGCGACUUCUUUGCCAACUUGGUUGUAGAGGCAGUGCAAGCUGUAAAGAUGACCAAUGCUAGGGGGGAAGUUAAAUAC